rnacentral:piRNA from 1 species
GACACCCCAGUUUUUCCUGUCAGGUGU